ACCUAUGGCCAGAUGGGAUGGAUUAUAUGCGAUCUGGGAAAUUAAGCAGGCUGGGUGCUGGUUUGUACCUGGAUGGGAGACUGCCUGGGAAUCUUGUGGCCCGUAGGCC
rnacentral:rRNA from 1 species